rnacentral:rRNA from 1 species
UUUUGCGCAAUGGGCGAAAGCCUGACGCAGUAACGCCGCGUGGAGGAUGAAGGCCUUCGGGUUGUAAACUCCUGUCAGGGGGAACGACGAGGCAAGGAUGAUAAAUCCCUACUUUCAGACGGUACCUCCAAAGGAAGCCCCGGCUAAUUCCGUGCCAGCAGCCGCGGUAAUACGGAAGGGGCGAGCGUUGUUCGGAAUCAUUGGGCGUAAAGGGCGCGUAGGUGGUUCUGUAUGUCUACUGUGAAAGCGUACAGCUCAACUGUAUUUUGUCGGUAGAAACUGCAGGACUUGAGGCUGGGAGGGGCUGGUGGAAUUCCCUGUGUAGCGGUGAAAUGCGUAGAGAUGGGGGAGAACACUCGUGGCGAAGGCGGCCAGCUAGACCAGUUCUGACACUGAGGCGCGACAGCGUGGGGAGCAAAC